UCCUGGUGUCUUGUCUACGUUUCCUGUCUGAAGGGGCUCUCCUCUGCCUUUUAGGAUCCUGGGUACACGCACAGCUGGUUUUCUGUGCACUUCGGCCUUCAGGCGCCCUCUCAGGAACCGAGCGCUCGCCGUGUUCAACGACUGCACUCUCGUUGUGGUAACCUCCACCCUUCAGAUGCUUGUUGGCCUUUAUGUGUCUGCUUCUCAACUUCUUAGGAUAAAAUAUCUUUGGAGGACAGGAAUUUUUAUCAGAACACCAGUAACUGGAUUUCUCAAACAGAAGAACAGCCUUAACAAUCUAGUACUGAAUAUACACAGAAUAUGAAAGAAGACUAUUGCAACAGGGGGCUGGCAUGAACCAUCUACAAUUAAGAAACACAGAAGCUGCUGAGCUCAUUUCACAGUUAGCACAGACCACAUCAUCCUCCUUUUCUAAAGAAGACUUCAAGAGGAUAAGACAGUGUGAAGGUGCUGCUUGACAGACACUGCCCCACAGCCAUCAACUGACAUUUUUAUUCAGCGAACAUGGACUGCAGAAAUAUAAUAUAUACAGUAAUGAUAAAACAGAAAUACACUAUUUUUAAAGUCAGAAACUUGUCUAUCUAAGUUAUCUAAGAAUGCAGAAGAAUAUAAUCUAUAUUGUUAACAGAUUUCAGUAAUAGUAGGCUGCUCUCCAGAAAGACAAAAGGGUGCUGCCAGGAUUUCCUAUUGGUAUGAAAUUAAUCUAAACAGAAAAAUAUUUAACUCAUAUAACCUCUGU